rnacentral:rRNA from 1 species
GCGUGAAUCUGCCGGGACCAUCCGGUAAGGCUAAAUACUCCCGAGAGACCGAUAGCGAACCAGUACUGUGAAGGAAAGGUGAAAAGCACUUCGAAUAGAAGAGUGAAAUAGUCCCUGAAACCGUGCGCCUACAAGCGGUCGGAGCUGUUUUAAACAGUGACGGCGUGCCUUUUGCAUAAUGAACCUACGAGUUACUUUUACUGGCAAGGUUAAGCAUCUUGAGAUGUGUAUCCGAAGCGAAAGCGAGUCUGAACAGGGCGUAUAGUCAGUAGGAGUAGACGCGAAACCAAGUGAUCUACCCUUGGGCAGGUUGAAGGUUAGGUAACACUAACUGGAGGACCGAACCGAUAAGCGUUGAAAAGCUUCCGGAUGACCUGAGGGUGGGGGUGAAAGGCUAAUCAAACUUGGAGAUAGCUCGUACUCCCCGAAAUGCAUUUAGGUGCAGCCUUGUGAGUUACUAAUGUGAGGUAGAGCGACUGAUAAGAUGCGAGGGCUUCGCCGCCUAUCAAGUCUUGAUAAACUCCGAAUGCGCAUUAGUCCUAUCACAGGAGUGAGGGCAUGGGUGCUAAGGUCCAUGUCCGAAAGGAGAAGAAUCCAGACCAUCAGCUAAGGUCCCCAAAUAAAUGCUAAGUUGAACUAACGAAGUCAGAUUGCUAAGACAGCUAGGAUGUUGGCUUGGAAGCAGCCAUUCAUUUAAAGAGUGCGUAACAGCUCACUAGUCGAGGAGUUUGGCGUGGAUAAUAAUCGGGCAUAAGUAUUCUACCGAAGCUUUGGGAUGAGAAAUCAUCGGUAGGGGAGCAUUCCACUCGGCGUCGAAGGUGAAGCGCGAGCUUUGCUGGAGCGUGUGGAAAAGCAAAUGUAGGUAUAAGUAACGAUAAAGGGGGUGAGAAACCCCCUCGCCGAAAGACUAAGGUUUCCUGAUCAACGCUAAUCGGAUCAGGGUUAGUCGGGUCCUAAGGCUCAGCCGAACGGUGAGGCCGAUGGCAGAACAGGUUAAUAUUCCUGUACUACCUUAAGGAGUGACGUGGAGACGGAGUCGUGACAACGCCGCGGACUGACGGAAUAGUCCGUUGAAGGGUGUAGAUGUUGAUUGUGGCAGGCAAAUCCACCACGAGAGUCGAACCUGAUAGUAUACCAAUUCCUUCGGGAAACGGUAAUAGUGCGUGUAAACAUACUCCCGAGAAAAUCCGCUAAACUUAAUCCUUGAGGUACCCGUACCGCAAACGGACACACGUAGUCGGGUUGAAUAUACUAAGGCGCUUGAGUGAUUCACGGUUAAGGAACUAGGCAAAUUGACCCUGUAACUUCGGGAUAAAGGGUCCCUGCUGAGAGGUAGGGCGCAGAGAAUAGGUCCAGGCAACUGUUUAACAAAAACACAGGGCUGUGCAAAAUUGAAAGAUGAAGUAUACAGCCUGACACCUGCCCGGUGCUGGAAGGUUAAGAGGAGAUGUCAUCGCAAGAGAAGCAUUGAAUUGAAGCCCCAGUAAACGGCGGCCGUAACUAUAACGGUCCUAAGGUAGCGAAAUUCCUUGUCGGGUAAGUUCCGACCUGCACGAAUGGUGUAAUGAUCUGGACGCUGUCUCAACCGUGAGCUCAGUGAAAUUGUAGUAUCGGUGAAGAUGCCGAUUACCCGCGAUGGGACGAAAAGACCCCGUGAACCUUUACUAUAGCUUAACAUUGAAUUUGGGUAAUUGAUGUGUAGGAUAGGCCGGAGGCUUUGAAGCGGGCACGCCAGUGUCCGUGGAGCCGCUGUUGAAAUACGGCCCUUUGAUUAUUUGAGUUCUAACCCGUUGUUGCGGGGACACUGUUUGGUGGGUAGUUUGACUGGGGUGGUCGCCUCCAAAAGUGUAACGGAGGCUUCUAAAGGUGCCCUCAGGACGAUUGGUAACCGUCCGCAGAGUGUAAUGGCAUAAGGGCGCUUGACUGGGAGACUUACAAGUCGAUCAGGUAGGAAACUAGAGCAUAGUGAUCCGGUGUUUCCGCAUGGAAGGGACAUCGCUCAAAGGAUAAAAGGUACUCCGGGGAUAACAGGCUGAUC